rnacentral:rRNA from 1 species
UGGGGAAUCUUGCACAAUGGGGGCAACCCUGAUGCAGCGACGCCGCGUGAGCGAUGAAGCCCUUCGGGGUGUAAAGCUCUUUCGGCAGGGAAGAUUAUGACGGUACCUGCAGAAGCAGCUGCGGCUAACUACGCGCCAGCAGCCGCGGUAAUACGUAGGCAGCAAGCGUUGUUCGGAGUUACUGGGCGUAAAGGGUGCGUAGGCGGCUCUAUAAGUAUGGUGUGAAAUCUCCCGGCUUAACUGGGAGGGUGCGCUAUAAACUGUGGGGCUAGAGUGUGGGAGAGGAAAGUGGAAUUCCUGGUGUAGCGGUGAAAUGCGUAGAUAUCAGGAGGAACACCGGUGGUGUAAACGGCUUUCUGGACCAUAACUGACGCUGAGGCACGAAAGCGUGGGUAGCAAACAGGAUUAGAUACCCUGGUAGUCCACGCCCUAAACGAUGCAUAUUUGGUGUGGGUCAUUCAGUUGAUCCGUGCCGGAGCUAACGCGUUAAAUAUGCCGCCUGGGGAGUACAGUCGCAAGGCUG